UUGGCCUAUGAACCAUUUGAGUGCGUUGGUUCACAGAUACAGUAGCCUGCACUACCAAGUGGCCUCAUGACUAAACUACAAAAUGAACUACACUUAAUUGAGCUGUUAUUACUACACUUCAUUAAGCUGCGGUCCCGUGUGGCUCAGUUGGUAGAGCAUGAUAUAUCCCCAUUUCAUCACGAACACAAGAGUAUCAACGACUCUCCAUGAAGCCAGAAGAGAAAAAUUAAAUAUAAACUUUCUUGGUCUACUUUAAUAGCCAGUUUGUCUUGCCUCGUCAAGCCUACCAGCGUGGUGUUUCCUCGUACUCCUGCUCUCUGUAGUCCCUGUUUUCUAGUUUUUCCGGUUUUGACCAUUCUGCCCUGACCCUGCCUGCCGUUCUUUACCUUUCCGACUCUGCCCUGGAUUACUGACCUCUGCCUGCACCUUGACCUGUCAUCUGCCUGGCCCCUGUUUUUGUCUAUAAACAUCUGUGAUUCGAACUGUCUGCAUCUGGGUCUUGUCCUGAGUCGUGACACCAGUAGACAUACCUUUGUAUGCCUCCUAGUCUGUAUACCUGCAGACACAUACACAAAAGUGAGCAGUUCAGUCUCUGCAGCCAAUACAGCUAGCAUUCAACAUAUUCUUAUGGCAUACAGUACAUAUUCUUACCUCUUUGUUGAUUGAUAUCCAUUGAAUUGUGUCCAUUUUCUGUUUUUAGAAAGAUUUACACAAAUGUUAAGAUAUGGUAUCAUUGUAAAACAACAUAAAAUUUAGAUCAUACAAGGGACAAACCUUACCUUAAAUUGAGGAGAUCUUGAACUUUUUCAGUUAAGUGCCUGGGGUUAAGUGCCUGUCAAAUCCAAAUGUUAGGUUCCUGUAAGAACCCCCACAGUUUGGCAUCACUGCAUUAGGCUACUCAGUCAAGAACCACUUGUGUAAUCACAUGGUUACACAAUGCAAUUCAUGAGAUUCAUUCACCUAUUGCCAAAUCAAUUUACAGAUUGAUAAUGCAUGUGUGCCCUUAGGCCAACCUGGGGAGUUUGGUGGAGUAAUCUGUCUUGUCAUGCAAUCUGUGUUUACCACAGGAAGGCUGUGCUGGAGUGAGCGGGAGAGGCAUGAUCCACAGUUCAAAUGUGAAUUGAAAGGUUCCUGUAAAAUUCUCUCCAUGCAGGAGUCCAUUUAAAUCAGACCAAAUAUAUUCAGAGAUAAUACAGAGAUAGAGAGAAAAAACACAUUCAACAUUAUUUUUCUUUGUGAAAUAUACCAAUUUCAAUAUACUGGUUAGCUAUACUAUGUUGAAAGGGGUUACAUAACACAAUAACUAUGAAUAUUGCUAAAUGUAUAUACCAAAACUACUUAAGAGGCAUCAGUAUCAAUCCAUUUUCAACUUGUUGCUAGAGUAAGCCAGUUACAGGUCCCUGAAUAGUUGUGAAAUGUUUUAUGUGAUCACAUCUAAAAGGUAUGUUGCCUAAAGACAGAGUCAGCCAGGACUCAUGCCAUGACACAACUUUGACAAUGGCCUUUCAUUUCAUCUUUAUGCAAGUGAAAACGACACAUGCAAAGAAUGCAUAUAUGCUGCACUCAAUCGUAGUGAGUGAAGUGUAAUGUUGGACAUGAAUAAGGUAUCCUGAAGAGGGCAGUAUCAGAGUGUGUUUCGUGGUGUUGCCUGCUAGUCAGCGUUCUCUCUCACUACAUUAUGAACAUUUAAAGUGAUGUUCACUUUGCAAAGGUGAAAUUCGAAAUACUAUAUAUCAAAUUGAUUAGGAACUAUCUUGAAAAUUUUGACUUGAAGCAAAAAAGUAUAUGGGUUAAUGUCAACAGUGUUAGAGAUACUUUAUUGUAUUUGUAAGUAUCUGUGAGUGAUAUAUUUAAGUAUUUCUGUGCAUACAUAAAAGUCGAACUGUUGCCGAACCUUUACUGUGCUUCAUUGUGAACUAUUCCAAAUGCUGGCAAGCAGAGGUACUAUAACACACAGCUUUUGUUUUGUUUGUAGAACAGAUAAAUAUCUAAUUGGCAGUAAACAAACAGCAAGCCUACUUAUACACAGCUUUCUGUGUGGUGUAAUUAAUUAAGUGAUUUGAUAGCUGUAUAAUGUUGUGUUUUUCUCUGCACAAAUAGCCGGAGGAUGCUAUAGAGAAUUAUACAACCGGUGGGUCUAAUCUUGAAUGCUAAUUGGUUGAAAGCUCAUUCUGCCGGUGUCUAUUCCACAAGUCACCAACGGCUAAAUCUAUGACCUUAAAAUGCCUAUUUAAUCUGUUCCAUCUGACUACACAAUCCACUGUUCCAUCAGCCUAGCCAGGCACUUUAUAAACUUGAUCUCCACUAUAAAAAGCAUCUAGACAUUAUCUCACAUUUGUUUUAGACUAACAUUUAGUUUCCAAAAGCGGAGCUUUGUAUCUCUCCCACAUUUGUAGCAUUGUUUCAAUAUUCAAAUUCGAUCUCCAGCUGUCCUAUAGUAAUGAAUGCGUCGAGAGUUGGGACGAAACAGACAGGCAGGCAGCAUU